AUCCGAUAGCCUAUCGUCUCAUCCCGGCCUUUGUGUCAUACAGAUCGGCUCCCACCACCAGAUCAGAGCGCCGACGGUACCUCCAUCACCGAUGCACGCCAGGCGUAGUAUCCGUCUAGCACGCAGCGACUUCAGGCUAUGAAAAAUACAUGACCAUGACUCCUGAGUGUUGAACUUUUGCCAACUCUACAGCCACCCUGGUUAUUAUAUGACCCUGAGGGUCAUCUACGAAUGCUGGAACAUCUUGAAUAACAAUAAGGGACACAUGUACUCUUAAAAUUCCACUCAGCACAGCUCUCGGAGCAUGGUUUCUCUAAACUUUUGUUCCUACGUUUAUGACUUAUAGGGAGUGUUUCCUAGAUGCUGUGCUUCGACAUAUGCAUUGAUUGGUCUUCGAUUUUUAGACUGGGUAUCUGUAAAACACUUUGUGACAACUGCUGAUGCAAAAAGGGCUUUUAAGAAAUACAUUUAGCUGAUUGACAGAUUUGUAUUAUUAUUUUUAAAAAAAUAUAACAUUAUUAUUAUCAUAAUCUUUAUUAGUAUUAUGUUACAGGUGAGACAUACCCAGAAAUGUCAACGUCUUGUCAAGUGCUCAGAUCUGUACAGCAGCCCCAUAUAAAUCACAUACAGUAGCUCCAACUUUCAAGAAUGUGUUUACCAGGCAGUGAUGAAAACAUUUUAAAUGAGCUCUAAUUCAAACAUACAAUGAUAUAUAUUUUACACAAUUACCCAAUCAAAACUGUUGUUACAAAAUCCCUUCUCCAAUGAGUACAUUUCAAGGUUUCACAAACAUAAAACGACCAUCUAAUGAAUGUUUCUCGGACUAACACACUGUUGAGUUUCCUAUUUACUACUAAAGACCAAUCAGUGAGAGAAAACACAAAAAGUUGUAAGAUAAUCUGUAUACAUGUCACUCUAAACUGAAAACAGGUACAUUCUGAAAGAUGUUGAUGUGAUAACACAUUUUUUUUAUUCAUCAAUUUAGGAUAAUACUGUUUAUUUUAUACUGU